rnacentral:rRNA from 1 species
AGCGAACGCUGGCGGCAGGCCUAACACAUGCAAGUCGAACGAACCUUUCGGGGUUAGUGGCGGGCGGGUGAGUAACACGUGGGAACGUGCGUUUAGGUUCGGAAUAUCUCAGGGAAACUAGCGCUAAUAACGAAUGUGCACUCCGGGGGAAAGUUUGAUAGCCUUUUGAGGGGCCCGGGUCUGAUUAGCUUGUUGGUUGAGGUAAUGGCUAAUCAAGGCGACGAUGAGUAGCUGGUCGGACAGGAUGAUCAGCCACAUUGGGACUGAGACACGGCCCAAACUCCGAGGGAAGGCAGCAGAGUGGAAUCUAGCGCAAGGGGCGAUAGUCUGACGCAGCCAUGCCGCGUAAAAGAGGAAGGUCUUAGGAAUGUAAUAUUCGUUCACCGGGGACGAUAAUGACGGUACCCGAAGAAGAAGCCCCGGCUAACUACGUG